GACAGAGGUGCCGAGCGUUAGGCGGAAUCACUGGGCUUAAAGCGUGUGUAGGCGGGUCGUUAAGUGCCUUGUGAAAUCCCACAGCUCACCUGUGGAACUGCUUGGUACUACUGGGUGUCUUGAGCCACUCGAGGGCGAGCGGAACAAACGGUGGAGCGGUGAAAUGCGUAGAUAUCGUUUGGAACGCCAAUGGUGAAAACAGUCUCGC
rnacentral:rRNA from 1 species